CUAAACGUUUAUCCUUGUGACGGCAGUCACAGUCCUCCGCCAGUAGCAGUCAAACGGCGGAGGAGGGCAGCCCGUCCGCCUGCACCUGUCCGCUCCAGAUCGAACACCAGCAGCCGCAGCUUCUCCCACGACCGAGAGAAAGGCUUCCCCCCCCAGCCGGCCCAGCAGAGAUAUCUGCCCAGUGUGAUGAUGAGCUCUGUGGAGGAGUCGACUCGCAGCUCAGGCUGCUCAAAGGAAAAAGCUUCUGUAGCGGAGACUGAGGAGGCGGUGGCUGCCGGCGUUGAGACUGAUGAGGCGGUGGGUGCCGGCGUCGAGACUGAGGAGGCAGUGGCUGCAGGCGUCGAGACUGAGGAGGCGGUGGCUGCAGGCGUCGAGACUGAGGAGGCGGUGGCUGCAGGCGUUGAGACUGAGGAGGCGGUGGCUGCCGGCGUGGAGACUGAGGAGGCGGUGGCUGCCGGCGUGGAGACGGCGGCUGCCGGCGCGGAGACCGAGGAGGCGCCGGCUGCCGGCGCGGAGACCGAGGAGGCGCCGGCUGCCGGCACGGAGACCGAGGGGGCGCCGGCUGCCGGCGCGGAGACCGAGGGGGCGCCGGCUGCCGGCGUGAAGCUGACACCGGAGGAAGCCUUUCAGGCUCGCUGGUCGGAGGCCGUUAUUGCCAAGGUUCUGGAAAUCGAGACGCAAUACAGGAGCGACUGUGAGACCUUCUGCAUUGUGGUGAAGAUGUUGUUGAACAAGGAGCCCCGUUUGGGUACUUUGCUGGAAGUUCCAUUGGCCGAGAACCUGUCGGAGCUCAAAGAUCGCUACCUGGACGCCCUGAAGGAGUUUGUGGAGAAGCUGCCAGACACCUCUGCAUAA
ensembl:lncRNA